ensembl:lncRNA
CAUAUUUUUAUUCAGUUGUCUGCCUUCCUCCAGAUUGAGAAGCCAGUUAAUCCAUCUUUAUCUGCUUAUAUUUAGUUUUUUUUUUUAAAUCUCAUUGAUGAGAAUAGAUUUCGAAAACGUUUUUAUCAUCAAUUCAAGGGUAUAAUGGGUCAAACACCAGCCUCUUUGGACCAAGAGAAGCCCCAGCAUCAUCAACGUUUGUCUCCGAAGCCGUUAGCUUGAAGAAUGUUCUUCUGAAGAUCUUUAACAAUGCAUAACUUUGACUACAUCACACACCCCCGGCCUCCAUUAACGGCUGCCAGAACCAUCCAUAUUCAUAGUGGAAUGGGCAGGAAGACCGGCUUUUCUGCUCUGACAAACCCAAAGUAGCCAAGGAUCGACUUGAUUCGAAUGAACUCGGAGGAGAAGGGAUCAGGGGAUCAGUGGCAGAAGACUCCCAACUGAGAGCGGAAUGGAGGUUCACUCGGCGGGAAAAAACGGAGAGAAACAG